rnacentral:lncRNA from 1 species
AAGCUCCCUCCUUCAUCCUGGUUUUCUAAGAGUUGUCAUAUCUCGUUUCUCCAAUCGUAUUUUUCCUAAGCGGUUUCCACCAAGUGAACUUCUAUCGUUGGUUUGGUUAGGAUGAGUUUGAUGACUGAUGACAAUUGGCCUUUUUCCUUCCCUUUGGCCAGUUUGGAUAGGACUUCUGCCCUUGCAUGAUCUUUCCUUGGGAUGUGUAAAACACUCCCAGGCUUGAAACUUUGUAAUAGAUCGGUGGCUUUGUGAAAAUAUCGGAGUAGGUGAUUGUCCUUAACUUGAAAAUCUCCAUUCAUCGGUCUUACGAAAAAUUGGGAAUCAGUUCA